rnacentral:rRNA from 1 species
CGUAGGUGGCAAGCGUUGUCCGGAAUUAUUGGGCGUAAAGAGCAUGUAGGUGGAUUAUUAAGUCUGACGUGAAAAUGCGGGGCUCAACCCCGUAUGGCGUUGGAUACUGGUAAUCUUGAGUGCAGGAGAGGAAAGGGGAAUUCCCAGUGUAGCGGUGAAAUGCGUAGAUAUUGGGAGGAACACCAGUGGCGAAGGCGCCUUUCUGGACUGUGUCUGACACUGAGAUGCGAAAGCUAGGGUAGCAAACGGGAUUAGAUACCCCGGUAGUCCUAGCCGUAAACGAUGGGUACUAGGUGUAGGAGGUAUCGACCCCCCCUGUGCCGGAGUUAACGCAAUAAGUACCCCGCCUGGGGAGUACGGUCGCAAGGCUAAAACUCAAAAGAAUUGACGGGGGCCCGCACAAGCGGUGGAGUAUGUGGUUUAAUUCGACGCAACGCGUAGAACCUUACCGAGGCUUGACAUUGAGUGAAAAUCCUAGAGAUAGGACUUCUCUUUCGAGAGCACGAAAACAGGUGGUGCAUGGUUGUCGUCAGCUCGUGUCGUGAGAUGUUGGGUUAAGUCCCGCAACGAGCGCAACCCCUAUCCUAUGUUACCAGCAAGUUAAGUUGGGGACUCAUGGGAGACUGCCAGGGACAACCUGGAGGAAGGCGGGGAUGACGUCAAAUCAUCAUGCCCCUUAUGCCUCGGGCUACACACGUACUACAAUGGUCGGCAACAGAGGGCAGCGAAACCGCGAGGUGGAGCAAAUCCCAGAAACCCGACCCCAGUUCGGAUUGCAGGCUGCAACUCGCCUGCAUGAAGUUGGAAUCGCUAGUAAUCGCAGGUCAGCAUACUGCGGUGAAUACGUUCCCGGGCCUUGCACACACCGCCCGUC